AGCCUGGCGCGCCCGGGGCGCCGGGAGAGGCACAAAGCCGCGGAGCGGGAACCGGCGGUCCGGGCCCGAACCCAGCGGCCAGGGAUCCCCAAGGCCAGGGUGAGCAAUUCUUGGUUCAGCGGAGAGGUAUUUGCUGGGCACCGGGUUCCUGCGGAAAGGCACGCGAGACGAGAGGUGCGCGUGGACCGGGAGGCUCGGAUGCGCCUGUGAAUCCAAAGCUGGAGCCUGCCUUCUGGUUUCGAGGGCGAUUAAACUGCCCUGAGUCCAACCUAACCCAGGCCAGCACCUUGGCAUAUGGGCGGGUGUAUUCGCCCAAACUCUCCUGGUCAUAAACAGCCGGAUUUCAGAUUCUGAAAACCUGGAAGAGGCUCUGGGAUAAUGACUCCAGCUGAGUGAGAUCUGACACAGUCCUCUUGCCUGUUGCAACCAGUGUCCUCCCUGGGUGGGAGAUCAGCAAGCAGCUCCCCCUCCACCCUGCUGUACUCUUCAGCAGGCCUAGUUGGAGCUAUGCCCCACCCCCAUUGAACUGAGAGUGUUCCGUGGCCUUCGUGUGAGCCACACUAUGACACUUUGGCCGUGCUGGGUUGCUUUUACUGGCUGACCUAUUAAAGGCAGGGAUGGAACCUGC
rnacentral:lncRNA from 1 species